rnacentral:rRNA from 1 species
UACGUAGGUGGCAAGCGUUGUCCGGAUUUACUGGGCGUAAAGAGCGCGCAGGCGGUUGAUUAAGUCGAAUGUGAAAGCCCCCGGCUCAACUGGGGAGGGUCAUUCGAAACUGGUCGACUCGAAGGCAGGAGAGGGUAGUGGAAUUCCCGGUGUAGUGGUGAAAUGCGUAGAUAUCGGGAGGAACACCAGUGGCGAAGGCGACUACCUGGCCUGUUCUUGACGCUGAGGCGCGAAAGCUAGGGGAGCAAACGGG